CAUAACACUGGCUGAAACCCUUUCUACUGUUAUGAUUUCCUGUAUACAAACAUAUUCAUAACAUGUUUCCUCAUUCUUGUUGGAUUCUUUGUGUUGUUAUUCUUUUGAUUUUCAUAUAGUGGCUAUGAACUAGAUUUUUCAUUUUGAUAUUGUUAUGUUUUCUUAUAUCUUCUUUUUUAGCAUUAGACAUGCUAAUUGAUAAAUCUUGGAUUAGCAAACCACGAAAUAACACUUAAAUACGCGGAUGAGCUUAGAAAAUUUCUGAAUUUUGCUUUUGAGUAUGGGUCUAUUGAUGGGCGUGUAAUUCAGUGUCUAUGUCCGAAAUGUGGUUUUAACAACUGGCAAAGAAGAAAUGUAGUUGAAGAAUACCUGACUUAUAAGCAUUUUCCAAAAAAUUAUAAAGUUUGGUAUUUGCAUGGUGAAGAAUCAAAUCCAACUAUGCCACAAACGUUUCAGAGCACAAAUGUCAUAGAAGAAACUCUGCAGCCCCAAGAUUCAAUGGUAACCAUGAUUAACGAUGCAUUUGGGUUCAUAGGGAACAAUGUCAAUGAGCCUGGUGUGUCUUGUGAGCGUAUGAAUAGUGAAGAAACAUUUAAUGAAUGGCAUAAUGAAGAAUAUCCAUAGUUCUAUGAGCUGGUAGAAGAUGGCAAUCGACCAUUAUAUGAAGGGUGCGUGAAGUAUUCCAAAUUGUCCUUUCUAGCCAAAUUGUAUCAUAUCAAGUGUUUGUGCCGAAUGACUGACAAAGCGAUGAGUAUGAUAUUAGAAUUGUUAAAAGAUGCCUAUGAAGAUGCCAAGAUUCCUAUUUCUUUUUAUGAGGCCAAGAAAACCAUCAACAAACGUGGCCUUAAUUAUACCAAGAUCCAUGCUUGCCUAAAUGAUUGUAUGUUAUAUUUUGGGGAGGAUGAAGGUUUAAAAACCAUCAACACUUGGUUUUAAUUAUACCAAGAUCCAUGCUUGCCCAAAUGAUUGUAUAUUUUGGGGAAGAUGAAGGCUUACAAGGAUGCAAAAAGUGCAAGACAUCUAGGUGGAAGGACAAUAAAAAGAAGAAACCCGCAAAGAUUUUACGCUAUUUUCCACUAAAGCCAAGGCUAUAGAGAUAGUCCAUGUGCUCUAAAACUGCUGAGUCAAUGAGAUGGCAUUCUACUGCGGGUAACCAAGAUGGAUUGAUGAGGCAUCCAAGGGAUUCUCAAGCAUGGAAAGCAUUUAGCUUGCUUUAUCCUGAAUUUGCUGUAGAUCCUCGGAAUGUACGACUAGGCCUAGCUAGUGACGGUUUCAAUCCUUUUAGAGCAAUGGCAACAAACUAUAGUAUUUGGCCUGUGGUUCUUAUUCCACAUAAUCGUCCUCCUUGGGAGUGCAUGAAACAAACUUCAUUCAUUCUUUCAAUGAUCAUUCCAAGAGAACAAAUGCCUGACAAUGACAUUGACGUGUACUUACAACCUCUUAUCCAAGAGUUGAGAGAAUUGUGGUACGAUGGAAUGCAGAUAUUACACUCUUCAAAGAAUGAAAUUAAAAUGCGAGCAGCCUUGAUGUGGACAAUUAGUAUUUUCCUGGACUUGGCAGCUUAUCUGGAUGGAGCACAUACACUCAGUUUACUUGUCCCACAGGUAACUUUGAUACAUACUCUUGCCGGCUGAAGCAUAGUAGAAAAUGAUGUUUCAUGGGUCAUCGUCAUUUUCUUGAAAGCGUCCAUCGUAAUAUUCUUGGCGCUUUGCUUGAGAAAUCAACGGAUUCGAGCACAACAAACACUUCCCCAUACUAGUGGUGCUAUGAGUUUGGCUGGAAGAAGGGCUUUGAUGAUAGUUUAAUACGACGUACUUACUGUCGCUUUAAUGUGACAAGAGUUAUUUAGUUUAAUUUUACUUUUUAAAACUUUAAGAAGAAAUAGAAAAAAGAAGUUGAUCGUGGCAAAUUGUGGACUGAGACUCUUAAGAGGAAAGAAGGGAGUUAUGUGAAUGAUCAAGUUAGGGAGAUUGGGUAAGUGUCUAUCACUAUAAUUGAACUGAAAUACUCAUAUUUUACAUUCAAUUUCCCUGAGCAUCUAUUAGCCUCAAGCCACAAUUUCUCCUGUACAUAUAAGGAAAAGCUUAUGUGAAUUACUGUUGAAUACAUGAGAUUUUGAUCUAAGAACAUUUCCCAACCAAUUAAUGUGAAUUACCUUAGAUUGAAGCAGUGUUAUGAAAAGCGAGCGCUUCGUCGCUUAAAGCGCGAAGCGACUCGACGCGACACACUGUCGCUUUUGUCUCCUUAAUGCGAGGAGACCAACAUAAUCGAUCGAUUAACAGGUAAAGGCGAGGCGACGGCGAGGCGACGAAGCGAUCGAUUUUCUGAAAAAAGCGAUCGACCAGUUAUAUAUUGGUUUGAAAUUAAAAAAAACAAUUGGAAAUUAGGGUCUCCAGUGACGGAAAUUAGGGUUUCCAUCUUCGACGUUCUCGCGAUCUUCUUCUCGUUCUCGCGAUCUUCUUCUUCAUUUUUUUCUUCUUCUUUCUCUCUCUGUCGACGAGACAGAGUUUCUCCAGUGACUUUUUCAUUUUAUUCUUUUUCAUUUUUUUUCUCCAGUGACAGUCUUCUCCAGUUCUUUUUAUUUUAUUCUUUUUUUUGCAUGCGGCUGGACUUAUUCUAAACCCAUCACCCUUUUAUGAGCAAAACCAAAGUUCUUUUUAAUCCAAUUUUUUUAUGCACUGUAGCGCAUAUAUAUAUAUAUAUUUAAUUAUUGUAUUAUUAUUAUUAAUUUCAGUGUAUUUUCAGUGUAUUUCAGUGUAUUUUCUGUGUAUUUUCAGUUUAUUAAUUAUUUUUUCACUUAUAUCUUAAUAGGGAUAAUUAAAUGUCUCAAAGUUUGAAAGAGAAAGACCCGGCUUGGCAAUAUUGCCAAAGAGUUAAUGAGAAGAAUACAAAUAUUUUUGAUUAUUUAUAAUUUUACAUUAUGUUUUUUAAGAAUUGCGCUUCACUUCAAAAAAGUGUGCGCUUCUUUGCGCUUUGCGCUUUGCGCUUUGAAGCUUGACACAUCAUUUUUGCAGAUUCAUACAAAGAAAAGAAAUCGCCUAACCUUGAAGUGCCUCCAUAAUCUAGUGUUUAUAAAAUACAAUAGAGCAUUGAGGCGUCACUACAACCACCGCAAUAUAAUUGAUCCAAUUCUUUUGGACAAUAUUGAUGACGCUUAUGAGUGGCUAACUGGAGUCCCCGAAAAUUGUGAAGAUGAUGAAGUAUUUGAAGGCGACCCCGAUUUAACUUGGGGUGAUGUUGCGGUUGCUAGUGGAGUUGGGNNNNNNNNNNNNNNNNNNNNNNNNNNNNNNNNNNNNNNNNNNNNNNNNNNNNNNNNNNNNNNNNNNNNNNNNNNNNNNNNNNNNNNNNNNNNNNNNNNNNNNNNNNNNNNNNNNNNNNNNNNNNNNNNNNNNNNNNNNNNNNNNNNNNNNNNNNNNNNNNNNNNNNNNNNNNNNNNNNNNNNNNNNNNNNNNNNNNNNNNNNNNNNNNNNNNNNNNNNNNNNNNNNNNNNNNNNNNNNNNNNNNNNNNNNNNNNNNNNNNNNNNNNNNNNNNNNNNNNNNNNNNNNNNNNNNNNNNNNNNNNNNNNNNNNNNNNNNNNNNNNNNNNNNNNNNNNNNNNNNNNNNNNNNNNNNNNNNNNNNNNNNNNNNNNNNNNNNNNNNNNNNNNNNNNNNNNNNNNNNNNNNNNNNNNNNNNNNNNNNNNNNNNNNNNNNNNNNNNNNNNNNNNNNNNNNNNNNNNNNNNNNNNNNNNNNNNNNNNNNNNNNNNNNNNNNNNNNNNNNNNNNNNNNNNNNNNNNNNNNNNNNNNNNNNNNNNNNNNNNNNNNNNNNNNNNNNNNNNNNNNNNNNNNNNNNNNNNNNNNNNNNNNNNNNNNNNNNNNNNNNNNNNNNNNNNNNNNNNNNNNNNNNNNNNNNNNNNNNNNNNNNNNNNNNNNNNNNNNNNNACUUGUCUUAUGGUUUAUGGAUGGUUUGUGGAUGAUUUGGUGGUACCUAGUACCUACUUUUAAGUAUUUAAAUUGAUGUUUUUUGAUUAUUUAUAAUUUUACAUUAUGUUUUUUAAGAAUUGCGCUUCACUUCAAAAAAGCGUGCGCUUCUUUGCGCUUUGAAGCGAGUCGAGCCCUUGUCGCUUUUUUGCGCUUUGCGCUCUCCAAAACAUUGGAUUGAAGAUUAGUAAGCUGGUCAAGCAUCAGUUGUGUCUACAAAGCAUCCAGAAGGUACCAUAAGAAACAUAUAUACUUGAUUGAAAGAGAUAUUGAUCGAAGAACAUUACAUUGUUGUUUGGUUUGUGGAGUUUGCAGAUGGUAAUACUAUCUGUUUGAUUGAAAUAAAUGAAGUUAUUGUUGAUACAAGUACUUCCAGCACUGCAGAAUCUACCAAUUGACCUGAUUCUUAGCUUUUGUAAUUAUAUUUUGUCUCUUGUGGAGGAAAGAAUUGAAGAAAUUUGAAGACAAAGACCAGAUACUCGGGCAGAAAUUUCACCGAAUGACGCGCUUGGAGUAGUCUUCUGUCCCAUCACCCUGGCCGUGUUCGAGGCUUAGGCAUGGGUGCAAUUCCAACUGUAGUAUUCAAGCAAACAUCAAAGACGAGGUGGUUGUUCUGAUAUGGGCGCAGCUAGCACUAGUGCUCCACCUCCACAAUGGGUGCAAGAGAUGGCAAAUAUGAGAUCACAAUUAAAUGCACUAACAAGUUUAUUUCAAAUGAAAAUAGAAAAUAUCCCCGAGGAGUUUGCUCACUUAUUCCUGCUCCUCCACAUGUAAGUCUUCUCUUUAUUUUGUUGACAUAUGCUGUCCUAAACAAAGAUUUGACCAAAAUAUUGAGCUGAAUAAAGACAAGUCGAACUGAAUAUUGGACAGUUGGGUAACUAACUUUUCUUUAAAUAAUUAGCCAGAUGAGCUGCUUCUGAUUUAUAUAGGACGGAAUACACAAAGUAUUAAUGAGAACUGUACAAGAAUUAGCAUAGAUUGCUUGAUAGUACUAGGCAUUUUUGUCUUUAUUCUAAGUGAUCUUUCACUUUUAUUAAUUGCAUGCCUUACUUUAUGUGAUUUUUGGUUGGCUGACAACAUUAGUCUCUAUCUUAGCACCUUUUCUUUUUGGCAUAUGGAUGUUUAAAUAUUUGGUUCUAGAAAUGUUUGCUUUAUGUGUAUUUUUGUAGGAAAACUUUUACUCUAAAGUACGCUCCGUUUUUGGCUUAUUAUGAGAAGAGAUGGUAUCCAGUUAUGUUGUUCUGCGUUUGUGUAAGCUCUAUUGUUAUGGGUGAUUCAGCUAUUUAGCUGAAACUUUGAAAAGAUUAAACACUUCAUUGGCACUUUGUCAGUAUAGCUUAAGCACUUCGUUGGCCUGCUGUUAAUACGCAGCUCUAUACUGCCACAAAAUGAAUAUUAUCUGCUCCUUUAUCUCUACUGUCAUAGUAAAAAUAUUUCACUCAUUAAUGUUAUGUCAUGCAGGCACCCAAUCUAGGAGAUGUCGUUGGAGAUGGCAUUGGAGAUGGUGUUGGAGAUUGUGUGGGAGAGAACGUUCCAUCACCAACUGGGCCUAGAAGAUCCUUUGACGAAAGUAACUAUGAAAAUGGAGCAAGCAAUAAUUAAUAAUCAUUGUUAGGAUGAACUAUAUUUUUUUGUAUUGUAAUUAUUGAGCAACUCUCUUAACUCUAUGCACCUUAAACUUGAAUCUUUGAUGAUGUGGAUUUUGGGUAUGUUUUAAUAUGAUGAAUAUUUUUAAUAUGAUGAUGUGGUUCUUUAAGCUUAGAAUUUUUACUUUUUGAACUUUGAAGCAAUAUGAGAUUCAAAAUGCACUUCAGUCAGUCAUAUAUAAAAGUCUACUUUUGACAAUUAUUUGAUCUUCUACGGUUAUAUAUGAAAUCUUAACUUUAACCCAUAUGAACAUUCGCAGUCUCCUUCUAAAACCUUGGGUGAUGAUACAGUAUUCCCUUUAUUAAACAUAUUACAAUUAUGGCAAUAUAAAAUGGCUAUAAUUUGUAAGAGACAGGACAAGAAUUUCGGCGGUUCAAAAUCAAGCAAAGUAAACAACCGUACUUAAAUAUGCAUAUUGUGGCGCUUUUAUGUGCAUAUUGCGGCGGUUAGAUGAAAACCGUUGUAUUACACCUUUUGGUGGAAGCGAUUAUGGUGGUUGUGUAGGACGCCAUUAACAACAAUUGCAGAGGUUUUGAACCGCCGCUAUAAGCAAAUGUGACCGCCACUAUUACUUCGGCCUUUUGUAGUGAGUACUCAUGGCCACUGGAGCAACUACAACUGCAAUCAUGGAUUAAUCAUUAGUAAUCAGACGAACAUAUUUAAACUAUCAAAGAAAUAUAACAGCCAACAAGAGCAAAAACCGCAGAUAUCAUUGAUUAGAAGAUAUGUCGCGACCACAAUCCACAAACAGAAAGCAAAAACAUUCAAAACAUGAGCAAAAAGAAAGAGAAAUCCCUAAUCUGGGUCACUGAUGGUACUAGACAUGUUCAGGAGAUAAAGGCUAGAAUUCCUAUGGCUUGGGGGAGCUAGAGGGUUGGUUUUGGGCUUGGAGAAGAUUCAACAUAUUAUGAAGAAUCCCAUCAUUCUUCUGCUUUUCCUUGGUAAACUCAAUUCUGAGAACAUCCCUCUCAAAUUCAACCUCUGCUAAAUAAGCGUUCAGCCUAGCUAUCUCAGAAUCAUUGGCCUCACUUUCCAAAACUAACGCCUUGACUUUAUUGUUGAUAUGUAUCUUCUAAGAUGAACCAGAUUCAUUUGGAAUGGCAUUGACCAGAUAGUCACAAGCAAUCAGAGUAUUAAUUCCAAAGUAGUCCUUUCUUGGGCCAUUUCUCAUUUCUUCAGAGGCACCUUGAAUCGAUCCAGAACAGUAGUCAAAAUAAAUCCAUAGGGGCUAGCAUGGGCCUUGGAGCCAUUGAUAACCCUAUCCAGUAGCUUGAUGAUGAAUGCAUGCCAGUUGAUUUGACUUUCACUUUCAAGGCACUCUAUUAGAACUAAAUUCAUAUAGCUAGCAAUAUGCCUUCUUUCAUGCCUGUGAAGUAGACACUUGUUGAAAAACUCAAAGAGGACUUUGUGUUGUGGAUUUAUUUCACUCUUGUGCACAAAAUUGGCCUCAUUCACUUUUUCAACAUCACAAAAUCUCCUACUGAUUUCCAGGGCAUGAGGAAGGGAAUCCAGACUUGGCCAUCUUUGCCCGGUGGAGUCACUAUAUCCCUCAACAGGGAUGUCAAGAAUCUCUCCCAACUUCUCUGCAUCAAAGGUCACUUGAACUCCUUUUACUUGGGUGAUGACCCUACCAUGUUUGACCUCACAUUUUCCAUGAAUUCAAUGAUCUCAUUCCUGACUAGCCUUCCAUCCAUCUGAAGGACCAUGUCCUUCUAGCCCUGAAUAGCUAGGGCAUCAACCAAACAAACCAUUCCUCGUUCCACUAACUCUUUCAGCAAUCUUCCUUUCAAAAUUUUUCUUUUGACAAACUUGGCCAAUUUGUCUUGUUCACCAUCAGGCUCACUUUCUUCUUCACCACUCCAUUCCUCAUCUUAAGAAACUCUAACUUGUUUUCUUUUCACACAGACCUUGUACUCUAUGCCAGUGAAGGGUCAACAGCCUUAGACACAAAUGAAGAAUUCUUGAAAGAUGUCUUGGUCUUUUUGGGCUUGAGAUUUCUGAACCUCCAUUGUUGUAUGGUCCUCCUGAUGGACCUGUUCCAUCUCCUUAACAUCAACAGCUUUAGAGGACUCUACAACCUUACCUUUUCUUUUAUCCAUCCCCUUUUUCUUACUUUCAGCCAAAGCUUUUUGUAGCUCACUCUCACUCUUUUCACCCUGCUUCUUGUGUCUCUUCCAUUUGGCAAGGGAGUUUCAAUAGUUGUUGGGGAGGAAGCCUUUCGUUUCUUAGAAGGUUUGUCAACAUGGGGGCUUUUGGUGUUUGAGUUAUCCUUUUCUUUGGAUCAUAACUGGCACUUAUUUUCUUCAGAAGGUCUUCUAGGGUCUCCUCAAUAGAUGAACCAGUUUCAUCUGCUUGUGAACUUAGAUUAACUAACCCUUCAGCAGCCUCCUCUGAACCACUUCCCCCUGACUUCUUGCCACUUUCUUCCACAGUUGCCUGUACAACCCUAUAGAUAGAUGGUAACGACAAUUUUGAAGUGGAUGAAGAACCAACCACUCCUUUCCCUUUUCCUCUCACAUCACCACAUACACCCCUCUCUCUCUCUCUCUUGUUUUCUUUUUCAAUUAUAUUUUUACCUCCACUCCUUACCAAUUCAGGCAUUUCCACAUCCUUGAUAGGCCCAACCAAAAUGAACCUAUUUUCAAAAUUUUCAGCUAAAGCAGAACUUACCUUAGAAGGGAAGUUUGAGCCUUCUCAGAGUCAGAAGAACCAGGUCCUACCCCCUCACUCGCAUAUUUGAAUGAAUCAUCUGAGUUCUCAGAAUUUUGGGCUUGGGUAGCCUUCAAUUUUGCGUUUUAUCUCUUUGACAAUGCACAUAAGGCUUUUUCGGGCUAGCAUUUUAAUACGUCUUUUCUUAGGCCGGGGGCUUGUACUGGGUGGAGAAGGCGUGGAGGAACCAAAAGGGGAUGGUGGUGGAGGAGUGGGUUAUCUUGAGGGUUCAACAUUGUAGCUGAUGGCUUGAGAGAGUUUGUGAGUUAGACUUUUGGAGAAGAAAAUAAUUUAGAGUGAAAAAGGGUUUUUGAUAGUUUGGAAUACUGAGGGUGGCAGAAGGUUAUAAUUGGUAUUAAAAAGAAAUAAUUAUUUAAUGGAUAACGAUAUCUUUAGCAGUCAACUAGAGCUCUAAUCAACCUGAAAUUGGAGGUUGAACGAACGGUUAGGCUUCCCUAUAUUUUAGGCAUUUUUUGUGGUGAUUAACAAGGACGAAACUAGUUAAAAGAAAUGGAUAGGAUUUUCUAAUGUGUUGAUCAUUGGUAGGACUCUUCUCAUGAUUUAAAUAUUUAUAUUUCUAAUUGUACAGAAUAUAGAAAGUAUACCUUGUCAUUCAGAUAAACCAAUACUGAUAAACCAGGUUCUUCAUUUAGAAUUCUCUUGAUCAUGCCUCAAUUUACCAUAAUAGAAAUUUUAUUAGAGAUCAGUGAAUCAUAUAAACACAUGUCACUGAAGCUGAAUAAGAAUUAAUAUGGAUAUUUACUCAAGUGUCAGAAUUCCUAGCCAAAAAAUAAAUAUUUUUUAUUAAUUUAUAUAUAUAUAUAUAUAUAUAUACAUAUAUAUAUAUAUAUAUAUACAUAUAUAUAUAUAUAUNNNNNNNNNNNNNNNNNNNNNNNNNNNNNNNNNNNNNNNNNNNNNNNNNNNNNNNNNNNNNNNNNNNNNNNNNNNNNNNNNNNNNNNNNNNNNNNNNNNNNNNNNNNNNNNNNNNNNNNNNNNNNNNNNNNNNNNNNNNNNNNNNNNNNNNNNNNNNNNNNNNNNNNNNNNNNNNNNNNNNNNNNNNNNNNNNNNNNNNNNNNNNNNNNNNNNNNNNNNNNNNNNNNNNNNNNNNNNNNNNNNNNNNNNNNNNNNNNNNNNNNNNNNNNNNNNNNNNNNNNNNNNNNNNNNNNNNNNNNNNNNNNNNNNNNNNNNNNNNNNNNNNNNNNNNNNNNNNNNNNNNNNNNNNNNNNNNNNNNNNNNNNNNNNNNNNNNNNNNNNNNNNNNNNNNNNNNNNNNNNNNNNNNNNNNNNNNNNNNNNNNNNNNNNNNNNNNNNNNNNNNNNNNNNNNNNNNNNNNNNNNNNNNNNNNNNNNNNNNNNNNNNNNNNNNNNNNNNNNNNNNNNNNNNNNNNNNNNNNNNNNNNNNNNNNNNNNNNNNNNNNNNNNNNNNNNNNNNNNNUAUAUAUAUAUAUAUAUAUAUAUAGUCCAUUCUGAGCUAGUCCGAUUAGGUGAUAUUAAUCAUCCCUAAUUCUAACCCGUUCCUUUCAAAGCUUUCUCUACUCAGUGUUUUAGUAAAGAUGUCAGCAAUUUGUUUAUCGGUAGCAUAGAAUUCUAUCGUGAUCAAUUCUUUCUUAUAAUUGUCCCUUAAGAAGUGAUGUCUAAUAUCUAUGUGCUUAGUCCUCUUAUGAUGAACCGGGUUAUUUGUCAUACUUAUAGGACUAGUGUUAUCACAAAAGAUAGGGAUGCAACCAACUUCAAUGCCAAAAUCUAUCAGUUGUUGUUUGAUCCACAUGGUUGAGCACAGAAGAGGCAGCAAUAACAUAUUCAGCCUCAGCAGUGGAUAAGGCCACUUAAUUCUUUUUUUUAGUGGCCCAUGAUACCAGAUAUGAACCAAGAAAAUGAGCCAUAUUUGAGGUGCUUUUUCUACCCCCAAGGAAAUCUGCAUAGUCAGCAUCAACAUAUACCACUAGAUUAAAGUUACUACCUUUAGGGUACCAAAGGCGAAGAUUAGUAGUGCCUUUCAAAUAUCUCAUUAUCCACUUGACAAUAAUUAAGUGGCAUUCCUUAGGAUUUCCCUAAAAAUGAGCACAAAGCCCUACACUAAAAACUAUGUCAGGUCUGCUAGCAGUAAGAUACAAAAGUGAACCAAUCAUACCCCUAUACAACUUCUGACCAUCAUAUGAACCAGGUUCAUCUAUGCCGAAUCUAGUAGCUGUCGCAAUGGAUGUGUCUAUUUUUUUUGAUUUAUCCAUUUUAAACUUCUUAAUCAACUCUUUUGCAUAUUUCUGCUGAUGGAUCAUGGUUCUAUUUGGGUUUUAUUUGAUCUGUAAGCCUAAGAAAAAGUUAAGCUCACCCAUCAUACUCAUUUCAAACUCAUUCCCCAUAAAUUUGGCAAAGUCUUUACUCAGUUUGUCAGUGGUUACCCCAGAAGUUAUGUCAUCAACAUAUAUUUGUACUACAAAAAGAUCCUUACCUUUUCCCUCAGGAAUAGAGUAUUGUCAAUCUUACCUCUUUUGUAGCCAUGUUCAAGUAGGAAUUUGGACAGUCGUUCAUACCAUGCUCUAGGAGCCUGCUUGAGUCCAUAUAGAGCCUUGUCUAAUUUGUACACUUGUUCCGUACACUCCUUGCUCUCAAACCCUGGAUGUUGUUUGACAAAUACUUCUUCUUUUAGGUAGCCAUUUAGGAAGACACUUUUGACAUCCAUCUAAUGAAGAGUAAAUUUCAUGUGUGCUACAAAGGCUAUGAGGAGUCUUAUUGCCUCCAAUCUUGCAACUGGAGAGAAGGUCUCAUUAUAAUUUAUUCUCUCCUCUUGGCUAUAACCUUGGACCACCAGCUUUUACUUGUCUCUUGUUCCAUCUUCAUCAAACUUGUUUCUGAAGACCCAUUUAGUGCCAAUUACUGGUCUUUCCUUGAGUAUUGGAACUAGAUGCCAAACUUGACUUCUUUUAAACCGAUUGAGUUCAUCUUGCAUUGCAUUUACCCAAUCUGUAUCCUGCAAAUCCUCAACAACUUUUUUAGGUUCAAUAAGAGAUAAGAAAGCAUCAAAAGCACACAAAUUCUUUAAUUAUGAUCCAGUUUUAACUCCAGAUGUUGGAUCAGUAAUUAUGUUCUCAAUGGGAUGAGAACUUUGAUACUUGUAAGGUUUCACAACUAACUGGUUUCUAUUUGAUGUUUCUCCCAUGUUCUAUUGUUGAGGAACAAGCUCAUGGGCAUGUUCCAUUAGGGGAUUGGUUUCAGUUCUUCUUUGUUCAGUUCCCCCUGUCAGGUUGCCCUAGAUGGAAGAACCUGUUCUAUCACCUGUUCCUUCUUUUGAUGCAUAUUCAGCUUGAUCUCCCAUGUUCUAUAGUUGAGGAACAAGCUCAUGAACAUGUGACUUCACUCAAUUCUUUUGCCAGCCCAAUGACUUCCUCUAAAAAAGAUUGUUAGUUUCAUAAAAACAACAUAUACACUUUCUUCUACAUACAAAGUUUUUUUGUUGUACACUUUAUAAGCUUUGCUUUGUGAAGAAUAUCCCAAGAAUACCCUCUCAUCACUUCUUGGAUCAAACUUACCUGGGGAUUCCUUUCCAUUAUUAUGCACAAAGAACUUGCAUCCAAAUGCCCUAAGAUGGGAUAGACUUGGUUUUCUCCCUUUAAGUAAAGCAUGGGGAGUCUUCUCCAUAGGAGGCCUAGUCAUGCAUCUACUAGUGAUUUAACAUGCAGUAUUUACAGCCUCUGCCUAGAAGUUAUGGGGUAGUUUACUAGAAAAACGCAUAGUCCUAGCCAUAUCUUCAAGAGUCCUAUUUUUGCUUUCAAGUACUCUAUUUUGUUGAGAAGUCCUAGGGGCAGAGAAAUUAUGAUCUAUACCAUGCCCAUCAUAAAAUUCAGCAAACUUAGCAUUUUCAAAUCGAACUCCAAGAUCUAACAUAAUGAUGCAAGUUGAUUACCUAGUUUUUUCUGAGUUUUUCUAACAAUGGCAGUAAAAACGUCAAAUGCUUCAUACUUAGAUGUUAAAAACAAUACCCAAGUGAACCUAGAGUAAUCAUCUAAAAGUACCAUCACAUAUUUCUUACCACAUCUGCUCAAUGUUCUCACUGGACCACAUAGAUCCUUAUGAACCAAUUUCAUCGUCCUAGUGGUGCUUUCCAUUUUAUUAAUUUUAAAAGAUGAUCUUACCUGCUUCCCCCUUGCACAGGCCUCACAAACUUUGUCUUUCUUGAACUUGAUGUUAGGUAACUCUAUCAUUGGGUCCUUGAAGAUUAAUUUUUUGAGUUGAUUCAGACUUGCAUGACCAAGUUUUUUGUGCCACAUGAGGGGAUCAUUGUCCAACACACUCAAGCAAGUGAGUUCAUUUUUUGAAAGAGUGGACAAAUCUACAUUGUAAAUAUUGUUAUCUCAUGUCCCUUCAAAAUAAUCUUGUCAAUGGUAAGAUUAAUCACAAAACAUUGGGUAGAGGUAAAUGCUACCAGGUUAAUUCUAUCACACAGUUGUGCCAUACUGAUUAGGCUAUAUUUCAAGCCAUCUAUCAAGUAGACAUUCUCAAUGGAAUGUGAGUCUGUCUUACCUACUUUUCCAACCUCAAUGAUCUCAACCUUAUUCCCAUUUCCAAAUGAGACAUUACCUUAUUUUAGGUCAUCAAAUGAAAGGAGUUGGUUCUUACUUCCUGUCAUAUGCUUUGAGCAACCAUUAUCCAUGUACCAUAUUUGUCUACUUCCGUUCACUUGGACCUACAAAACAAAAUCAAGGGUUAGUCUUAGGAACACAAACUAGUUUGGGUCCCUUUCAAUAGGCAAAUUGGUGAAUUAAAUUCCUUUUGUCCUAUCCAGGCGACCUAUUUUUCUCUUGAACAAAGGUUUUGUUCUUUUGACUGGCCUUUUCUUUUGCAUUAUGUUCACUUUUGUAAUGACCAGUCUUGGGUAGUGUGUGCAGAUUUUGUUUUCAGAAGUCUAAUGUAUAUACUUUUGGGAUCCUACUUAGAUGUUGGGGUCUCAUAUCCAAGUCCUUUCUUGUUGCUACUGUGGUGAUCUUGUAGCCAGGAUAGUGCAUCAAAGGACUUAUUUCAUUUAUAAGUUCUAUCUGGUUCAUGUUUCACCUUGCCUAGAUCUUCUUUUAGGACUCUUAUCUGCUAAUCUUUCUUGUAAAAAUCAUUCUUCAUUUUAUCUAGAUUUUCUUCUAAGGUGAGGUUUGUGUUUGAUUAGCUUUCUUCUUACCUAUUCCUAAUUUUUAUUUUAAAUUUUCAGACCUAAGUUGUAAGAUAUUAGUGUCAAGUUCAAGAACCUGAUUCUUCAACUCAACAUUUUUACUAUCACUUUUACUAGCCCUAAAUUUCAAUUUUUUGCACUUGGCUUUUAGGAUAGCACAUUCCCUAGAAACUGUUCCUUCUCAUUGUUUAUGACCUUAGACUCAUCAAUGAAGUCUAGCAAUAAUUCAGAUAGCCUUUUAUCAGACAAAAAUUUAAUCUUGUCUUUGAGAUGAAUAACACUUACCUCUUGUUCAUCGUUUGAUUCUCCAAUGGCCAUAAGUGAUUUUUCAUCUCCAACUUCAUCUUUUGAAUCCUCAUCAGAGGUUUCUCCCCAAACUGCACCAUAGCCUUUGUUGAUCCUUUGUUCCUUUUGGGUUGAAUCUGUUCCUUCUUUCUGUUUCUUCUUUCAACCCUUCCCUUUUCCCGUUAAAUUUCCCACUGGGGACAAUUUUUGAUCAUAUGGUCAGUCUUACCACAUUUGUAACAGCCCUCGUUGGUCUGUUUUUUAGGAUCUCUUGGUUUGUUGUAUUAGUGCUUGUUCAUCUCUAGCUUCAUAUUCUGAAUCCUCAUUUGAGGUUUCUCUCCAAGAAGCAACCAUGGCCUUUUUUGAUCCUUUGUUCCUUUUGGGUUGAACCUGUUCGUUCUUCCUGCUUCUUCAUUCAGCCUUUUCCUUCUUCCAUUCAAUUUUCCACUGGGGAUAAUUUUUGAUUAUGUGGCCAGUCUUACCAUAUUGUAGCCGCCCUCGUUGGUCUAUUUUUCAGGAGCACUUAGUUUGUAAAAGGUUGCACCUCUUGAGAAACCUUUCCUCUCAUUAGGUACUUCUUGAAAUCCUUUGUGAUCAUAGGCAUUUCAUAAUCCAUAUGUAUGCACAUUUAGCUAUUCUUAGAGCCAGGCUUCUUUCCUUCUUAGGUGCAUCCAUCUUCAUAGUUUGCCUUCUCAGUUCAUAGGCAAUGAGAUUUCCAAUCAGCUCAUCCAACUUGAGGGUAGCAAUAUUUUUUGAUUCCUGAAUAACUGUGAUUUUUCUUUCCCAAGUUACUGGCAAGACUCUUGUCAAGAUUUUCUAAUCCUUGUCUUCUUAAAGGAUAAAUCUUCCAAGAGACUUAAGUUCAUCUGUUAGUGUUGUGAACCUUGCAUACAUCUCUUAGAUGAAUUCUCCUUCCAUCAUGGUGAAAUUCUCAUAUUGGGAAUAUAGCUGUGUUCCUCUUGACCUAUUUACUUGAGAAGUUCCUUCAUGGGCCACUCGUAGAGUGUCCCAUAUGUCUUUAGCAGUGGUACAACUUUGAAUCCUGCUGUACUCGUCUGAACCUAGUCCACACACGAGCCAUUUUUUGGCCUUGACAUUCUUUUCCCAUUUCUUCAAAUCUUCAGUAGUACAGUCAGCUAUGGUCUUUGGCACGUCCAGUCCUUCAACAUUCUUCUUUGUAGUAGCCAGGGGACCAUCAGUAAUCAUGUCCCAUAGUUCAUACUCUUCUCCUAUGAUAUGGUGUCUCAUCUUGUUCUUCCAAUAGGAAAAGUAAUGGCCAUUAAAGAGUGAAGGCCUAGCAGUGGAUUGCCCUUCCCAGUUUUCAGGUGGUGCACUCAUCUUGAUCUGUUCUUCAGGUGUUAGCCUUUUCAAGGAUAACCAACUCUGAUACCAAUUGAUAUUUUAGACUUUAAUACCACACAAGAGGGGGGAGGGGGAGGUGAUUUUUGUGGUAUCAAAUUUUCGCUUAACUUAAUUAUAGAAGGAGGGUUCAUCUAUGUGUUCCAACUACUAUUGUUGAGGAAUAAUAAGUACAAAAAAUAAAAAAUACGGAGAUAUUUAUGUGGAAAACACCUGACUCAAAAGGUGAAAAAAUCACGACCUACUUUCCUGUAGGAUUUUUCCAAACUCUCCACUAAAAUCACUGAGCCAAAAACUAUAUUUACAAAAACUCUUUUGUAAACCUAAGAUUAACUCUAAUCCCGUUGUGGUACAUAGCCUCAACUGUUGCGACAACUUCAAGUUAACUUUUACUUGAAAACUUUAAGUACCUCAUACAAUUGCUUCUAUAAUAGCUGAAUGGUACAAUGUAAAACCACCUACUACAAUUGUACUAGAAUAAAAGAUAGACACUUGGAACUGCUUCUUCUAUAUGGUUCAAGUAGCUUCAGGAUUGCACGCUUGAAUCACACAUAAAUUGUUUGUAAAAUUGCUUUGUUAUUUUGCUCUCAAUUCACGUUUAAUUUUUGCUUAUGUGCAUUAAUUGUAAAAGAGAACAACACUAAUAUAUAAGGAGUUAGUAAUAAGAGAUUGACUAGGAUAUAGAUGCUACUCUUCCAUGGUGGAAGAGUUCUAGUUGAUCUCAUACUCUAACUCUAUCCUCUUCCUAAACUAUGUUCUUUUUGUGUAAGAAGUCUUUCUCCUUAUCUAAUAUGCAGCCUUUUCGAUCAUGAUCAGGAGAUAUUACUUCUGAUAAGUUAGAAUUAUCUCCAUCAUAUGCAUCUCACAUGUUUGGGUCGAUCACGACUGUGCUUCAUAAGAUGAACCCGGUCCAUGUCUGAACUCUUUUGUCAGUCUUCAAAACUUCACAUUUACUUGGCCAACACUCCCUCCAUUCCAAAUAUUGCUAGUGAAUAUAACUUGUUGCAGAUUGGUCCUUUAACUGUUUCUAAAUAGCUUACUGACCCUGAAGUACUGCAUUAAAAUUUUGAAUUGCAUACAUAUAUUAUUCUUUCAUUUGGUAUCAAAGCUCCAGACACCACCAAGUGGUAUUGUACUGGGUCGUACUUUGGUAUCAAAGCUAAUUAUUAAUUUGAGCUGGAUUUUCAUUUCUUCACACAUGAUAUGUACCACGCAAAUUGUUGGUUAAGGUUUCCAUCGGAUCUUAAGGACUUUGUGCUUUCUCUUUCAAUUCAGUACAUCGAAUCAUUAAUUUGUGACAGUCAUUGGUUCAAACUUUUGGAUUGUAUGCUCGAAUUCUUUCACAAAUAUAAUUUGUGAACAUAUUUAUACCAGGACAACACUGAUCCGAAAGCCAUUUUCAAAUAGCUACUAGCCCUUGAGGCCAUGUCCUUCGUAUAUAUUUUCAGCUUCAUGUAUUUUACCAGCAAAUUGGAAGUACACCAGCCAAAUGAAUUUGUUUGUACGGUAAAUAACGGGAUCAGAGAGAGAGAAAACAAACAAACAAAGAGGAAAAGAAAAAUGAAGUUGGAGUGAUGAAUUCCACGAGUCAAACAAGUAAAUUUAAUAGCUCAUAAAAUUUGUUGGUCGUUCAAAAAUGGUUGAAUGCAGUUGUGAGCUAUUAAAAGCAUUCUUGUUACUCAGCGUUUCGAUGUCACUGAGGUGUUUAGAUCUUUAGAGUUAUUACUGUUCUUUGGUGACUGUUUCUCUGAAAUUUAGAGUUAUGCUCUUCCAUUAAAUUUUCAUUGCCAUUCAAUGUUUGAAAAAUAAUAAUCUAAAACGAAAUUGCAGAAGGUUUGAGACGCGAGAAUAUGACUUUUCUUAAAGAAGAUAUUGCUCGUAUAUAAAUUGGCGAAAUACAAAUAAUUUUCUUCAGGAUACAACAAGCCAAGAACAUACUGCGGAUUUUUCUAUAUCCACUUUGUUGAAAGAACUUCUAUUUAUAGGCAACCAUCGACCUUUUCAAAAAAAUAUUAUUUUUCAUAAACAGACGCAUCUGUUUAUUCAAAUAAAAUUAACAUUUAAAUUUAAAAUAAAAUAGAUUUAAUAAUAGAAAUAAAUAAAAAAUAAAAUAUUUAUUUUAGGUCCAACCCAGCCCGUGCUCAAACCCCAAGUCCACUAUGUAUGUGUAUAUAUAAAUUUGAACACAUAUAAGAGUAUGUGUUCUAAAUUAGAUACAUAAAAGGACAAGGACUUAAAAAACAUAUAAAGUGGCCUUGCACCUUCGACGUGGGACAAACCCACUUUUCCAACAUCAAUAACAAACUAUCCUUCAUUCAAGACCUUCUUUAACUUGUACCAGCCCCACCCCCCUCUCUGAACACAAGAAUGAUUGGAUGUGCGAACAAAAUUUCAUAUGAUAGCUAAAGAGAUGUGAAAUCUACAUAUAAGGCAUGCAGAUCUUUUUAUAGUGUGGGAUUUUUUGGAAAAAAUCGUGCGAACUUGGUUCAAAAUGGACAAUAUUACACCACGUUAAGAGUAUCUCCAUACGAUGCAGGUGCACACAGUAAGCACAAAAACAGAGAAGUGAGUAAAAAAACUCCAUAUGGGCCCUCUGUCUGCAUCGGAUCCUAAGUCAGGGUCCCUAGGUCCCCUAUCUGCUCGAGAACCUAUGACUGGCUCCCAAUGAUCUAUGGCUUUGCCGGGACCUGGGCCUGGACAUGGACUGAGUCCUGGGGCUGGCUGGAGGAAACUUCAUGCUGGUCCUCAAACUGUAUGACUGCAUCAUCAGAACAUGGAAGCACCCUCUUCCUCUUGGGUGGUUUCUCGGGCUCCUGCUCUGGAUGCGGCUAGGCUGGUGGUUCCGGGUCAUGAAAUAGCAGAUCUAAUGGCAGGUGAUCUGCCUUCAACCUCUCUACCUCGACCUUAGCUCCUUCACAGGCUACUUUGAAGCCCAAGUCUUCCUUAUUUUCUUCGCCUCCCUAGCAAGCUCCUUGAGUGCCUUUCCAUGAAAAUAUACAAUGUCCCUAAUCAAUUUUUGGUUCUCAAGGAUCUUCUUCUAGUUGUCCAGAAGUUCCUUGAGAGUGUCCUGCACGGACUGUGGGACCUAUGGCGGAGGGGGUGCUGACUGGGCUACCACCAUAGAAGAUAGUACAAACAAUGUGGAAGUAGCUAUCUGCAUCCAGUUAUUGAUUCUAGCAAUCAACUAAUCUGGGGUGCUACCUGGGAUUGCCAAGUACUCUACCAACCAAGGACGAGCUUCCUCAACCAAUGCCAUUUUCCGCAAAUGCAAUGACUCAUCCUCCUGUGGGAAGCCCAAGUAAUCAUUUAUGGUCUUGCUAUCAAAUGUCACCUUCAGGUUUCGCAUUUUAGUUGUUGUGGUACCCUUUUUGAUGUGGGCCACAAUUGUGUAGAACACCUUCAUCAAGUGCGCAUUGGCCUCCUCCACGUGCCCUAUGAAAUAAUCCGAUCCAGCUCUGUAUCAGAACUACCUCAACAUAAUGGGGUUGUCAGGCAAAAGGUCCCCGGUGAUGAAUUUACACUCAGAUCUCAAUUUCCUCUAGGGACACCAUUCUCUGAACUUGAGGUAGGUGAUCUCAUUCAUAAAACAGUCAUCCCAUUCCUGCAAACUUCUUUUCCUCUAUAUCCCUCAUACUUAGGGCACAUCCCUUACUACUUAUUCCUCUUCUUCUGCUAUAGGACCCUCUCCAAAUAGAGAAGCUGUAGGAGAGGUAGAAUAUUCAUUGCCACUACCAUCAGCUGAGCCCUCAUACGACUUAGAAGAUAUACACACUGAUGCUUGGGCAAUGGGAGAGCAUGGAGGUGUAUCCCUCAACCCGUUCCUCUCUUUCAGUUAGGAACAUGCUCUAGCACGAAGUCUGACGAUGCCUCAUGGGAAUGCUCACAUUCACCCCCAGUUGCGUCAAUAGCUCUAUCAGCAACUUUGAUGAGCCUCUUGGUGUUUUUGAUGUUUUGCCAGGCUUGCGAGGUUAAUCUUACCAUGCCCUAUCCCCUACCCCGGGAGGACUCUACUUUGCCUUUUUGUUAUCACUUCCGCCUCAUGAUUCACCAUUAUAUGCAAGAGAGUACAGUCUAUGCUUGUUAGUAUAAGUAGAAGUAAUGAAUUCAAAAUUGCAGGAAAAUUGUUGCAAAUAGUUAAAUGUUACAGAACACGGACCUUACAAAACGAGGUGCAGUGCAAAGAGGCUACCGCAGACCGCACAAAAUCCAUUGCAAUCCGCAUAGAGGUAGGGUUCAAACUACACACUCUCUAAAUCUAUGCACCAAACCACACAUAUUGCAGUGUAUUGUAGUCCGCACUAAGGAACCGCGGACCGCAUAAAAUCUAUUGCAGUUGUGGUCCUCAAAUGUCAGCAUUCAGAACUUAUGCCACUGCGGUCCGCACAAAAUAGCGUUGCAGACCGUACAAAGGCAUCACAGACCGCACCAAAUCUAUCGUGGUCCGCGGUGAGUGCCUAGCAGCAACACCAACCUAGUCUUUAUGUUUUAUCCAUUUAAUCCAAAUCUUUACCUAUUAAUGAUUCCCUAGGUGUUACCUCACUGUUGUAACUAAUUAUGCCUAAUUAAAACGAGAUUGAAGUAAUCUAUGCUACAUGAUUGAAAGAAAAACAGGAAGGUAAGGAGAAGGAACUAAGAAAAACAAAAAUUCAAAGAAAAUAACAAAAUUAAACAACUGAGAAGGAGUUAAGAUUACCAGAAAUAAGAUACACUGAUGAUUUAUAGCCUUAGCUGAUAAUUUCAUGCAAUUAUAGAGAUGAACAGUACAUUUUUAUGCUUUGAGGGAAAAAAGAUCGAAAAGUUAGAAAUGAGGCCUUAGGUCCUAUUUAUAGAAAAAAGGACCUGGGUCCCAUCUCACCUACCCACCGUGGACCGCUUAAAAUGGCAAUGUGGUCCGCGAUGCACAAAACACUGGAAGAUUGGCCACUGCGGACUGCAACAAAUCUAGUGUAGUUGCAGAGGAUCACCGUAGACUGCACAAAAUGCAAGCGUCCGUGGUGGAAAACAUUAGAAACUCUAUACUUUUGACAAAUCACUUGGCGGUCCUCAUUGAUUUCUUGCCCCCACAUAAAGGCCUUUGCGGCCGCACAAAAUGAGUGCGGUAUGCAUUGCAAACUUCAAAGAAUGAUCAUUGUUUUGAGUAUAAUUGUUAUAUUUCAUUAAUCUUAAAGGGAUGUACAUUGUAAAGCUCUAUAGUAGUAGCUUGGACUAGCUGCUACUCAUUUACAAUCAAUCAUCUAUAUUAAGAUAACUAUCUAUAAACAAAUGCCACCACAGUAUAGGGAAGUCUAAAGGCUAUAACUAAGGAAAACAGUUAAGCUGCCGCAAGCCAGUUUGCCAUCGUUUGCAUUUUCUGCCACGGAUAUGUAUAAGUAAAGCAACUUCUCUGCAAAUCUGCUGUUCCACAAAUACUUUCCCAUUAUAUCGAAUGCUAUUCCUCUCCCUUCAGAUGAGAGCUACAGUAAUGACAAAAACAGAGGCUGUAAUAGAAUUGUGCCACAUUCUACUCCUUGUUUUACUGCAAAUCCAUUGAAUUUCUGUUUCCCAGUUACCAACAGUCCUAUAGUGUCCCAGCCAGCAACAGAUUCUGGUCCACAGACUAUUAGUAAUUGAGCACUCAAAGAACAGAUGGUUAAACACUUCAACACUCUGAUUGCAGAAUACACAUGUUGCUGGGACUUGUAUGCCAUAAUUCUGCAGUGUGUCAACUGUAGGAAAUUUGUGUUGAGCAACUAGCCAUAUAGUGAACUUGUGUCGAGGUUUAACAUUUGUAAUCAUCAUCAUAUUCUUCCAUUCGACCUUAUUGAAGCUGGGAAGCAAUGUGAGGUAAAGUUUCUGAAUGUGGAAUUUAUCCAGACUGCAUACACCUUUCAACCUGCCAAACAGAUCCCCCUGAAACUUCUGGCUCUCCAUUAUAAUAGUUCUGCUUUCCAGUAUCCUCCUGACAACCCAAGAAGCUGAUUUAGGUAUGUUCAUUGUUGCAAUAUCACCCUGUUUAAUGUAGUAGCAGUGCACCCAUUUAACCCAAAGACAGUCUUUCUUCCUGGCCAAGUCCCAUAAAAGUUUAGUAAUGGCUGAUUUAUUCCACACAGUCAAAUCUAGUAUGUUGAGUCCUCCAGCUGAAAGUGUUCUGCAUACCCUUUCCCAAGCAAUCAGUGCUCUUUUGGACAGAUUUGCAGUGCCUGUCCACAGAAAUGUUCUGCAUAUUGCUUCAAUGGCUUUCAAUACUUUUUUGGGCAGAAUGAAUACUUGAGCCCAAUAAGUCUGAAUACUUAAAACAACAGCUUUGAUCAGUUGGCAUCUCCCUGCAUUAGAAAGCAGCUUAGCUGACCAGCAAGUAAUUUUAUCAGUAAUCUUCUCUAUCAGAGGCAGGUAAUGAUGGAUGGCCAGUUUAACAGAUUUGAUCAUUUGGCAUCUCCCUGCAUAAGAAAGUAGCUUAGCUGACUAGCAAGUAAUUUUAUCAGUAAUCUUCUCUAUCAGAGGCAGGUAAUGAUGGAUGGUCAGUAUUUUAGAGUCAAGUGGUAUCCCCAAAUACUUGAAUGGAAUCUGGCCCUCAGUGAAUCCCAAUGUUUCUAUGAUUUCUUCUCUGGAACUCUGCUGCACGCCAGCCAAGUAUACUGCACUUUUGCUAAUAUUAGCUUGUAGUCCAGAAGCUUCAGAGAACUCAAGGAAUGUCUUCUGUAAGAUCUGGAUGGAGAUAAUAUCAGCUCGACAGAACAUAAGGAGAUCAUCAGCAAAACAUACAUGAGAACAAUUGAGCUUCCUGCAUUUGGGAUGAAAGUUGAAGUCCCCAUUCUUGUGCAACUGUUUCAAAAUCCUGUUCAGGUACUCCAUAGCCAGCACAAACAAAUCAGGUGACAUAGGUCACCCUUUCUAAUACCUCUCUUAGCAGUGAAGGGCUUAGUUAAUCCACUAUUCAUUACUAGGGAGUAGGAGACAGAGGUGACACAAGCCAUUAUCCAGUGAAUAAAUUUUGCAGGGAAGCCCAGGUCAAUGAGAAUCUAUUUGAGAAAGCUCCAUUCCAAGGUGUCAUAUGCCUUCCUAAAAUCAACCUUCAAAACACAUCCGGGAGAGACUCCCUUUCUUGUAUAACCCUUGAAGAUCUCAUGGCUAAGCAAAAUAUUAUCAAUAAUACUUCUCCCUUCAAUAAAAGCUGACUGAGCUUGACCAACUAAUUCACCAAUGACAGUUUUCAUUCUCCUAGUAAUAACUUUGGAGAUGAUUUUAUAGACAGUGGUACAACAGGCAAUAGGUCUAUAAUCUUUAACAGUUGUAGGAGCUCUAACCUUAGGCACAAGUGCAAUAGCAGUAGUAUUGAUUUGGAGAUGAUUUUAUAGACAGUGGUACAACAGGCAACAGGUCUAAAGUAUUUAGCAGUAGUAGGUGCUUUGACUUUGGGAACAAGUGCAAUAGCAGUGGCGUUGAUCAUGCGAGGCAUUUUGCAUGUGGAGAAGAAUUCCUUUGUAGCAGCUAGAAUAUCACCCUUCACUAUCUCCCAGUUUCUAGUAAAGAAUUCCACAGGAAAGCCAUCUACACCUGGUGCUUUGUCCUUUGGCAUCUCUUUUAGUGCUUCUGUGAUUUCUUCCAAUGUAACCUCCCGAAUUAGCAUUCUUUGCUGUGGUAGAGUUAGACACUUUCCUUCUUUAAUAAUAGCAGAGUUGACACAAGGCAGUUCAGCUGCACACUCCCCCAUCAAUGAUUGGAAAACCUUUAUAAACUCCUGCUCCACAGAUAAGGGGUCAGCGAGUUUCAGACCUGUAUCAGUGUAGAUACUGAUGUUAUUCUGGCAUGUUCUAAUCUUCCAUUGAGCAUGAAAAUAUUUUGUGUUGGCAUCACCACAAUCAAUCCAGCAAGCCUUUGAUUUCUGUCUCAAAAUUUGCUCCUCCACACAACUCCACUUCUCAAUCUCUUUAAGUGCUGUUUUUUCCACAGCAAAUAAUGACUGUGCUAGUGGACUAUGCUGCAGUUGAGUCUGAAUAAUACCCAGUGUCUCCCUAGCUGAAUAGGUUUCUGCUUAUAUGAGGCCAUAUGAACAUUUGUCUCCUUUAAGUGCUGUUUCAUAGUCUUCAAUUUAUUCCAUAUCUGCUGCAUAGGUUUUCCUUCACAUUCCUGUCCCCAGACCAGCUGUAGUAUAGUAUGAAACUGUGGAUUCUCCAUAAUAGCAAGGUAGAGUCUGAAAGGUUUAGGAUGUAGAGGUUUUUGAUUUCCAAAUUUGAUAAGAAUAGGGGAAUGAUCAGAAACUGAGGGAUUCAUGAAGUCAGCUUCCAGGUGCCCAUACUGUUGUAACCACUGAAAAUUGCCCAGAGCCCAAUCAAUUUUGCUAUCAAAUCUAGUAGAAGUAUUCUAGGUGCCCAUACUGCUGUAUCCACUGGAAAUUACCCAGAGCCCAAUCAAUCCUGCUAUAAACUCUAGUGGGAGUACCUUGCUUAUUAGUCCAAGUGAAGUGCCAGCCUUUAACUCUAAGAGGAGUGAGUUGAAGGUCAGCAAUAACAUCUUUAAGACCUCUAACUUCAGCAUCAGUAACAUGAGAACCAAUUCUGUCAUCAGUACAUAAGACAGAAUUAAAAUCCCCACUCAACAGCCAAGAAUCUUGACUGGGCACAUAUACUGUCCUUAAAUCACUCCACAGCUGAUCUCUAAGGUUUGCAAUAUUAUGAACAUAGAUGACACUUAAAUGAGUUCUGACUUGGCUAGUAGAAUCUUCUAAGAAGCAUUGAUGAGCUGAUCAGUCACACAGGAUAUUUGAAUCUGGAGAUGAGGCGAUCUCUAAGUCUUGCAGUAUUAUGAGCAUAGAUGACACUUAAAUGAGUUCUAAUUUGGCUUCUAGGGUCUUCUAAGAAACAUUGAAUGAGCUGGUCAGUCACACAUGAAAUUUGGAUCUGGAUGUGAGGUUUCCAAAUUAGCCAUAUUCUCCCAUUUACAGCUUUUGAGUAGUUGCAUUGAACCUUCCAACCCUUAGCAAUCUUAUCUAGAAUCUUCUUUGCUUUGUGUUCCUUUACUCUAGUCUCUAGACAUCCCAUAACAUCUACUUUAUUUACAGCAAGAAAGUUUUUCAACUCCUUAUGCUUAUGGGCUUGAUUAAGCCCCCUAAUGUUCCAAGUAACAAUAAUCAUAGGACAUUAGGGGAUAAGCUUUGAGAAGGCCCCGGAUCAAUCUGUUGACCCCUUCUACCAACAUCUAAUACAACAAUAACAGCCUUUCCUACUCUGAGAAGGCCCCAGAUCAAUAUGUUGACCCCUUCUACCAGCAUCUAAUACAACAAUAACAACCUUUCCUUUAUUGCAGUUAUCAACCAUAACUUCUCUGUUGUCCAAGAGCUAUUCGAGAUGGGGUACACAACCUUGGCAUCCAACCACUUGAUCACCUCAUUUUUCACAACUUCUAGCAUUGCCUCAUUCAACCUCUUUAGAUGUUACAAGAUUGGCUUUGCAUCAUAUUCCAGAAUAAUCUAGUGCAUACAAAAUGAGGGGCUUAUUACCUUAAUAUUAGCUAAGGUACAUCCAAUUGCCUUCUUCCGAUUUUGAAGCACUACCAAUAUGGCAUCAGCCUACAUGUUUGUAUGAUAAGAGGAACGAAUAACUGGCAAAGUAUCACUAGGGCCUAAGCACUCAUACCUGAGUUGUAGAGGUAGUGGUGUUAACUCCAACAUUGGAGGUUCCUCAAUUGAAGGUUUUGUUGGUGGAGUAUUCCUAUUCUCAAGGUCCAAAGAUAGAUUCCUAGGCUCACAAUAGUAAGAGCCCAUCGCAUGUAAAGCAUUCAGACACUCCACCCGGCCUUCAUCAUCAUUGACAUCAAGAUUGAACAAUACGGCCUCUAGAGAGUCCUCCACAUUGAUCAUUGCACUUGGAUCAUCAACUAUCAUUGCCGUGACAAGGUCCUCAAAAGAGCACACCUCAGAACUGUUGGGCUACUUUAUUGACUUGCAUACAUGAAAUACCACUUUCUCAUCACCCACCCGAAAAGUGAGUUCCCCUACUUCCACAUCAACUAAGGCCAUCCCAAUAGCAAGGAAAGGUCUUCCCAAUAUGAUCAAAACUUAAUAAUCUACCUCACAAUCCAAGAUCAAUAAAUUAGCUUUCAAGAUAAACUUGUCCACCCCGACAAGGACAUCAUCAAUAAUACCCAAUAGCCUCUUCAUAGUUCUAUCCGCCAUUUGCAAUCUCAUGGAAGUCGGCCUCGGUUGGCAAUACCAAAAGUCUUGAAUACUAAGUGGGGCAUCAAGUUGAUACUUGCCCCCAAAUCACAUAGAGCUUUAGCAAAGUCCGCACUCCUAAUGGUGUAAGGAAUGGUGAAAACACUGAGAUCUUCUAGCUUCGGGCCAUUGAAUGCACUAUUGCACUAACUCGUGGAUCAUCUUUAUAGUUUCACAAUCCAUGGAUCUUUUCUUUGUCACCAAAUCCUUCGUGGAUUUAGCAUUGUCCGACAUUUUUUCAAGAGCCUCCACCAAAGGCACAUUAAUGUAUAAGCUCUUCAUCAUAUCAAUAAACUUUUUAAACCGAAAUGGUGAAAGAAUCGGGAUCUUCUAACUUCGUGGCCAUUGAAUGCACUAUUGCACUAACUUGAUAUGUAAUCUUUAUAGUUUCACAAUCCAUGGAUCUUUUUAUAAUCACCAAUUCCUUCAUGAAUUUAGCAUAACCCAACAUUUGUUCAAGAGACUCCACCAAAGGUACAUUAAUGGAUAAGCUCUUUAUCAUAUCAAUAAACUUUUUAAACUGAUUCUCAUUUUUUUUUCGCGACCCUUUGAAGAUAAGUUGGACGUGUCCUUGGAAAGGGAGCCUUGGCUUUAGGCACAACCUGCUUCAGCAUGUCUAUUAAUAGUUCCCUAGACAGGUUCAAUUCAUUUUGAGUUUCCACCUCGGCAUAUUGAAUAUUAAUCCUCUCUUCUUCAUUCACAUUCUCAUCAAUCACAUUUUCAGCCACGAAAGGAAUUUCAUCUUCUUGCAACUCAACUUCAUUAUUCAAUAUUGCCUUUUGCUUGAAGGCAUUCACAUCACCGCCUCUCCCACUUCUUGUAGUUAUCACCAUAACAUGAUUGUUCCCGCCCUUCAUGUUAACUACAGUAUCACUUCUUAGAGCCUCCUUAAGACGAUUAUUCAAGGAUUGUAAGAUUUGGCCUAAUUAAACCUCCGAGUUUCUGAUUGAGGUAUUGUGAGAGUGCAACUGAGCAUCAGAGUCCGCAUUAUUUUUCAUCACCUGUUCAAAUAUCUUUUCAAUUCUCCCCAUAUCAUUGCUUGAAGAACUAGGACCUUGGGAUGAAAAUAUGGGUGGAUUGUUCAAUUGUUGAUACAUUGGGGGCCUUUGAAAGCCUUGCCCCUGGUUUUCUUGCUUGCCAUGUUCCAACCUCCCUGAUUGUUGUUACCACCCCAGUUGUUAUUGUUGCCAUUCCAAUUACCCCGAUUGUUCUGAUUGCCCCAAUGGAAUUUUUUUGUUAUUGUUCCCCUAGUUAUCAUUGCCUUGUUAUUGUUGAUUGUCCCAAUUGCCUUGGGGUCUCCAUUGUUGUUGGUUUGAAGAAUUGCCCCUUUGGCAUUGAUAAUUGUUCACGUAUUGCACUUCUUCAUUCUUCCCAUCAUAACCAUUAUCUUGGAACCCACCACAAUCAUUGCCAAAUUGAUCCAAACUCCCUUUGAUCUGUCGACCUCUUUGUCUUCUUUUAUUCACUAGCAUGUUGACACCCUCUAUGGCAUUCACUUGGCAAGGAUUCUGAACUUGAUGCAACUAUGCAUUUGUGAGCUGGUUCAUUGUAGUUGUCAGCUCUGCUAUAGCCUGCCUAUGAUCAUAUAGCUCUUUGUGCAAAUGAGUGGCCAUGGUGUCACCCUAGGGAACAUUGGCUCUACUUUUCCAAGUGGAGGAAGUGUCAGCCAUCUCGUCAAGAAUGUCACAAGGCUCAUUAUAGGUUAGUUUCAUAAAGUUUCCCCCAGCAAGAUAGUUCACUAUGCAGUGGUUUGUUGUGUUAAUGCCCUGGUACAAAUUCUGAUUGAUCAUUUCCUUAGUCAUAUCAUUGUCGGGGAAUUCCUUAACCAUUGUUCUAUAUCGCUCCCAAAUCUCAUGUAAUGGUUCGGUGGGCUCCUGCUUGAAAGAUAAGAUCUCAUCCCUCAAUUCUUCCAUGUGCCCCGGUGAGAAACUUUGUAAUGAACUUAUCCGCCAGCUCAUCCCAAGUAGUCAUAGAAUGGUUGGGAAGUCGCUCAAGCCAAUCCAUUGCCUUUUCUCUAAGUGAAAAACGGAAGAAUAUCAACUGAAGUGCAUCCUCGGACACAUUAGUUUGCUUGAUCCUCCAACCGGUAUCCACGAAACCUUUGAGAUAUUUUCAAGCAUUUUGAUUGGUAGUGCCCAUGAAAUGCCCAUACUGCUCCACCAAUGUCAGCAUCACAUCGGUAAUUUGAGAAUUGCCCUACUGGAUCCUUGGUGGGACAAUUGCACUUGCAUGGCCUUGGUUUGGAAUCACUCAUUGAGCCACUCUCUCAGGUGGGAGAGGAUGAUAUGGAAUGUCAUCAUUGGCAUUGGCAUGUGGCCUCUCCAUUGUCCUUAAGGUAUAAGAGGCACCUCACCAUCUCCGUUAUCAUCUACCUUCUCCCCCACAAUCACAUUUCCAUGAGGGUCAUUGUUGUUUUCUACCAUUUUUGUACCUGAAGUUGGGACACACAAAAUAAUAAUGCAGAAGGAAAGAAGAACAAUACACACAAUUAUUUAGAUAGAUAUCCAAAACCGUUAGCUCUCUGGCAAUGAUGCCAAAAAGUGAUUGAGGCCAACCUUGCACUACUAAAAAGUAGCAAGAGUGGUCGAAGCAGCUUUUACCCAAGAAGGUCAGGUUUGAUUUCCACACGGAGCUAGAGAUGGGAAUUUAGUUUCUAUCUAAAUUGGAGUUGCAUAUUUGUUCCUAAUUACACUUCUAAACAUAGUUGGUUUUGAUGUUACUUCUAAUUUAAUACUAAUCAGAUGUUAAAUUUAGCUAAGUUAAGCUAAGAUUAAACUACUGAAGGUUGUCUAAAUAGUUAAAAGGCACUAGGAAAGUGACUUUCUCGUAGGUGAAUACUUGACGGGUUCAUGAGUCUAAGGCUAGGUUGUCAUAAUUAGGGAUUAUGAUAUAACCAUUGUACGAUACUUCUCACUCUAUAACUCUCGGUAGUUUGAGUGAUUUUGCCUAAAUUGACUUUGUCAAGACCAAUUGUGUAUGAUAAUUUGUGCAAGCAAUUAAGGUUCGAGUCAUGUAUUAGUAUCUCUAGGUUUACCGCUUAAAUUGGGGCUAUGAAUCUCUUGAGUACGCCCCAAUUCCUUGUCGGACUAAUUUCAGUAGACUUCUUUCUCAAGAAGAGCCCAAGUCAAAUUAGAAUAAACUAGUGUUUGCAACCACUAAUUCAACAUUAAAAUUAUAAAUUAACCCAAAUAUCAACCACCCAUAGCCAUUCAAGCCUUAAAACACAAGACCCAUCAAUUACCCACACUAGAGUUGAGCUAGAACUGUAGCUAAUAGGUCUAGCUACUCAUGAUAAUGGAUGAAAACAAAGAAAUAGAUGAAGAAAAAUCCAUUGCAUUUAAUUACUAACUAAAACUUAAAGAUUCAAUGAUAAAGCUAUAGCAAAAUUGCACAAAAUAGUAAAGGGACACUGUUCACGAGCGCAGCUCUGCAUGAAACUAUAACUGAUGACCUAUAUAUAGGAAAAGAAACUAUUUAUAGUAGGCAAAAUUUUCUGGACAAAAAUAGCGCUGUGGGGUAAGUGCGGACUACACAAAAUCGAG
rnacentral:lncRNA from 1 species